GAUGAACGCUAGCGGCAGGCCUAACACAUGCAAGUCGAGGGGUAGAGGGAGCUUGCUUCCUUGAGACCGGCGCACGGGGUGCGUAACGCGUAUGCAACCUACCUAUUGCAGGGGAAUAGCCCAGGGAAACUUGGAUUAAUGCCCCAUAGUCCAUAUUGAUAGCAUUUGGUAUAUGGUAAAGAUUCAUCGGCAAUAGAUGGGCAUGCGUCCUAUUAGCUAGUUGGUGUGGUAACGGCACACCAAGGCUACGAUAGGUAGGGGCCCUGAGAGGGGGAUCCCCCANACUGGUACUGAGACACGGACCAGACUCCUACGGGAGGCAGCAGUGAGGAAUAUUGGACAAUGGGCGGGAGCCUGAUCCAGCCAUGCCGCGUGCAGGAAGACUGCCCUAAUGGGUUGUAAACUGUACUUUUUUACGGGAAGAAACACCCCAACGUGU
rnacentral:rRNA from 1 species